CUCAACGUGUAAACAAAGACGCACGAAUUGCACAAGCCCAAUGGUAAUUUAAUCACGUCAAACGCACGUGUAGUAGUGUGCAAAGGGUGCAAUCCAUGUAAUUUGUUGAUCUAAUAUUACACUUUCAUUGCUUCACCGAUGGCUGGCGUCGACUGGCGACAAAAUGACGAAAAAACUUAAGAAUUCAAACUCGUUUUCUAUAAUUAUUAUGAUGGGACAGGAUGGGAGAAAGAGUAUCAAGAGCAACAUGCCCUGACCCGUGAAGCCGGUGUACGCUGAUGUCAUAAAUGUAUUUUUCCUCGUUUACAUUCUCAGUAGACAACCUACGCG